AUAAUCAAUCUUCUAAUAACUUCUCAUAUAAAUCAAUCACACAGUACUCCAAUUAUAUAAUCAAUAACUCAUAAAUCAAUCUCUGAUUUAUUCCAUAGACUCACUUCUCAGUAUUCAGAAACUAUCCAUUACUCUUCAACAACAAAGAAACAAAGAGGUAGCACUAAGCUUACCUUGGCUCAUGACCAUUAUAGUCUGGCCUCCAGACUAACUUCUAUAACUCCUAUAUACUUAUUCACUAUUUCCAGAUUCUAAUCGUAAUCCUGUAAUUAACCUUUUUUAAUAACUAAGUUAACCAUCUGUCCUCCUGAACUAACUAUUCUAUGGACUAUUAGUCUAUUUUACCAAUAUCUUAUAAAAAUGAACUAAUAUCUAUUCUACAUAGCUCCACUCCUAUUUGUGCAGCGUCCUCACAAACACACAAUUGUUACCUUCUUAAAAACUACUUAAUCGAACUUUAUAAAAUUACUAUUUUUUUUGGAACAACUGCACAUUCUAAAAGUCUUUUAUUCUUUUUGGUAUCCAACUUCAUUGGCUCUAUAUUGGUAACGAUUAUCACAAAAGGUGGUUUUGAUGCGCGUCUAGCUCUCAUGUUUUGGCUACUAUCUUCUUUGUCUGUAGCUCACUUUGUACUUUCAAUUGCCAAGACGCUCCCUCUCUCAAACUCUUAACUAGAACUAUUAUGCUUGAAAAUAUAAGAAACACAAGAAAUAGCAAUAUCAGAAAACAACCAAGAACAACAAUACAAAAUGACUUCUAAUUCGUGCCCUAUUCCUAUUCUCUUACUAUCGGUGAUCAUGACAAUAUGUUACCUAUACUGUCCGCUUUUCACCUCUCUCCCAUUUGACACAUUAAUAACUACUAACUAUUCUUUCAACCGCCUCUACACCCUAAUGCUCUUAUACCAUAAUUAGGUCUACCCUGUGUCCAUUUGAAGUCACCUCCUCCAAAAAAAUAAAAACCCAUUGUCGUAUGGCAUGAUUUGCUAUCUGGGAAUACAUUGGGUAUCUAGCUAUAGAGAGUGUACCUUAAACCUUUAUAUGAUUCUUUUCUUAGCUUCCAAAACUCCUUUAUUUUUGUAUAAAACUCCAAAUAUAACAAAAUCCCUUCAAAACAUAUUUUUCCCGCGAAGGGUUUCCUCGCCUCAAACUUUAGAAAAUCGUAACUAUUGAUCUAACCGUUCAGUUUGUUUCAAAUUUACAAGAUAGGUAGAAUUUAUCCUUAA
rnacentral:lncRNA from 1 species